CCUACAGGGGGGCAGCAGUGGGGGAUAUUGCACAAUGGGGGAAACCCUGAUGCAGCGACGCCGCGUGAGUGAAGAAGUAUUUCGGUAUGUAAAGCUCUAUCAGCAGGGAAGAAAAUGACAGUACCUGACCAAGAAGCGCCGGCUAACUACGUGCCAGCAGCCGCGGUAAUACGGAGGGGGCACGCGGUAUCCGGAUUUACUGGGGGUAAAGGGAGCGUCGGCGGUUAUGUAAGUCUGGGGGGAAAGCCCGGGGCCCAACCCCGGGACUGCUGUUGAAACUGUGUAACUGGAGUACAGGAGGAGCAGGCGGAAUGCGUGGUGUAGCGGUGAAAUGCGUAGAUAUCAGGCGGAACACCGGCGGCGAAGGCAGCCUGCUGGACUGAAACUGACGUUGAGGCUCGAAAGCGUGGGGAGCAAACAGGAUUAGAUACCCGUGUAGUC
rnacentral:rRNA from 1 species